CUGCAGAAUCCACUAGAUGGAGGAACCAGAUUUCACCCUCCUCAGCUGCCUCAGCAGGUACUGCUACAGAGCCAUGGUGACAGAAAACCAGUCCCAGAACUGAGCAGCAGGAUGGAGGGGGGGAAAGGAGGAAAGAAAACACACUUUGAAAGCAUGUACACCAAAACACAAUGGUGGGAAGGGCAAGAAGAGAGUUCAAGUGAAUGUACUAGAAUUUGAAGAACAGAACCUACUUCUGAAUGCAUCUCAGGGGAAGGGAAGAUAUAUAUAUACAUAUCAAUUCAAACAAAUGCUUGCCUAAGAACUGUGAGCUCAGCACAUGAAAAUGAA